rnacentral:rRNA from 1 species
UACAGAGGUCCCAAGCGUUGUUCGGAUUUACUGGGCGUAAAGGGUGCGUAGGCGGGUCUUUUAAGUCAGGGGUGAAAUCCUGGAGCUCAACUCCAGAACUGCCUUUGAUACUGAGGAUCUUGAGUUCGGGAGAGGUGAGUGGAACUGCGAGUGUAGAGGUGAAAUUCGUAGAUAUUCGCAAGAACACCAGUGGCGAAGGCGGCUCACUGGCCCGAUACUGACGCUGAGGCACGAAAGCGUGGGGAGCAAACAGG